GACGAACGCUGGCGGCGUGCCUAAUACAUGCAAGUCGAACGCAGUGGGGACGGGUGAGUAACACGUGGGUAACCUCCCAUCAGAGGGGAUAACACUUGGAAACAGGUGCUAAACCGAUACUGAUGGAUGGACCCGCGGUGCAUUAGCUAGUUGGUGAGGUAACGGCGCACCAAGGCCACGAUGCACAGCCUACCGGAGAGGGUGAGCGGCCACACGGGGACUGAGACACGGCCCAGACUCCUACGGGAGGCAGCAUUAGAGAGUCUUCGGCAGUUGACGAAAGUCUGACCGAGCAACGCCGCGGGAGUGAAGAAGUUUUUCGGAUCGUAAAACUCUGUUGUUAGAGAAGCGGGAUCUAACCAGAAAGCCACGGCUAACUACGUGCCAGCAGCCGCGGUAAUAC
rnacentral:rRNA from 1 species